CUAAUCUUAUCGGUGAAUCACUCGGCUCGUGGAUCGAUGAAGAACGCAGCCAACUGCGAUAUGUAGUGUGAACUGCAGAAACCUUGAACACAGAACAUUCGAAUGCACAUUGCGCCAUUGGAGUCGCAUCCUUUGGCACGCCCGGUUCAGGGUCGUAA
rnacentral:rRNA from 1 species